rnacentral:rRNA from 1 species
GAUGAACGCUGGCGGCGUGCCUAAUACAUGCAAGUCGAGCGAACAGACGAGGAGCUUGCUCCUCUGACGUUAGCGGCGGACGGGUGAGUAACACGUGGAUAACCUACCUAUCAGACUGGGAUAACUUCGGGAAACCGGAGCUAAUACCGGAUAAUAUAUUGAACCGCAUGGUUCAAUAGUGAAAGACGGUUUUGCUGUCACUUAUAGAUGGAUCCGCGCCGCAUUAGCUAGUUGGUAAGGUAACGGCUUACCAAGGCGACGAUGCGUAGCCGACCUGAGAGGGGGAUCGGCCACACUAGAACGGAGACAAGGUCCAGACGACUACGAGAGGCAGCAGUAGGGAAUCGUACGCAAUAGGCGGAAGCCUGACGGAGCAGCGCCGCGUGAGUGAUGAAGGUCUUCGGAGCGUAAAAAUCUGUUAUGAGGGAAGAACAAAUGUGUAAGUAACUAUGCACGGCUUGACGGUACCUAAUCAGAAAGCCACGGCUAACUACGUG